rnacentral:rRNA from 1 species
UACGUAGGGUGCGAGCGUUAAUCGGAAUUACUGGGCGUAAAGCGUGCGCAGGCGGCUUUGCAAGACAGAUGUGAAAUCCCCGGGCUCAACCUGGGAACUGCAUUUGUGACUGCAAGGCUAGAGUACGGCAGAGGGGGAUGGAAUUCCGCGUGUAGCAGUGAAAUGCGUAGAUAUGCGGAGGAACACCAAUGGCGAAGGCAAUCCCCUAGGCCUGUACUGACGCUAAUGCACGAAAGCGUGGGGAGCAAACAGG